AUUGUCCCCCCAUCCGCCAGGUUGCGCGAGUGUCUUCGUGAGGAAGAAAUAUAUGCCCCAUUUGUUUUCCGCCUUUCCGGAGAAGCUGACAUGAAAGUGUCUUAUAAGUUGAUUGGUGUCGAUCUACAUUUUUACCCAUUAAAUGCAAUCUGGCAUAAAAUUUAACUUGGCCAAAUGUGAUGACGUGGGUCGAAACUGCUGUCCAUUUUGUCGAAAUGUCGGACAUUUUUAGCUGUAGGCCUACGUCUCAUACUCUCAUCUCGUGCAGAAACACUUAGGAGCUAUUUAUUUUCAGCUCGGAAAUGGAGAUCCCUUUGCUCAACUGUUGAAGAAAUUUAGAACACGACAAAGUCUGAGCUUCAUGGCUGUAGUAUCAUUAAUGUGGUUUUAUUGCAGCCAGCUGGUGAAAGUUGUGAUCAAGUCAUGGUUGAGUUGCAGCUUCUGCAUGGAGUUUAUCAAGCUGGUGCUAUACUAAGUGUAACUGCAGGAAAACUUCUUGAAUUGCCAGGUGAAGUCUGCGCUUCUUUGUUGCAGUCUAAUGUGCGCAUGGAUUCGUUGCAGUCAUCCAGUGAAAGGUGUGAUUAAAUUGAACUGUUGCAUGCAGUCUUUGGUGCUGAUGUUGUCCUGGAGUGUGGGAGAGUCCCAUGCUUCAAGUCUUCUGGGAUCAGCCAUAUCCGAGUUGGCACUGGAUCAUGCUGCAUUGUGGUUGCCGGAAUGUUGGACAUCUAGUAGAACUGCAAGAAGACUCCUUGAAAUGGUUUACGUUUACGUAGCAGUGAUGUUGCUGUCCUAUAUGGCAUGUUGCAGCCUAUACUGGUGAAAGAUUUUUUGGAUCGAGUUAUGCUGUUGCUGUUCCUUGGUGCCGGACUGCUGGUGUUGUGCACAAAAGCUACAUCCAGUUUUAAUUGUUAUUUGUGUCUGUCUAUGCAGUUAACCGUUUAUUUGUUGAAAAGGAACAGAAAGGUUUCUUGGUGUUGAAUCGCUGGUGUUGUGCUACAUAAGUUACAUCCAGUAUUUUGUUUAAUUGCUAUUUGCGUCUAUGAAGUUAACCGUUUAUAUGUUGAGAAUGAAAAAAAAAAUGUAAUACGGGGAAUUUUUACGUUGAACAAAUAAUAAACAUACAUUCGUGAUUGGGAAACUAGCGAGGAGGACAUUGGGGGGGGGGAUGGCAAUCGAUUUUCGUUAGCUAGAAGAAAUCGUGGUUUGUUUUAAUAAGGUAGAAAUUAAAUCCUUUGUCUAUCACAUCCAUGUACCUAUCUAUAUAACCACAUCUAUUCCUCAAACCACAUAAUUUCCUCCAACAUCCAUUCCUUAAAUAACUUCCACCAACAUCUAUUCCUUAAACCCCCAUUUACCCACAAAUAACUGGAAUUUGUAAAUAUUAUUGUUGAAUAAAAACCCACUUAUGUAAUAUGUAAAA
rnacentral:lncRNA from 1 species